rnacentral:tRNA from 1 species
AAAGGGAGACCUAAUUCAGGUAGGAGACGAAAAAAAGUAGUCCCUACCAAGAAUCAAUCCCAAAAGGUCGGAGCGAGGCAAAAUUGGCUUUCAAACUAGGUUCUGGGUUCACAUAAGACCUGAAUCAGGAACAAGGGCUAUUAGCUCAGGUGGUUAGAGCGCACCCCUGAUAAGGGUGAGGUCCCUGGUUCGAGUCCAGGAUGGCCCACCUGCACAGGUGGCAAAAACAAAGAAGCGAGGAAUCAGCACCUUAUCUUACUUAUAUAGUAAGAGAGAAUGCUGGCUCUGAGUUCAGAGUCCAGAGGAACCUUGAAAACUGCAUAGAGCUAGGUGAAAAAGCCAAAAAAGAAGACCGCAAG